AGUGAACGCUGGCGGUAGGCCUAACACAUGCAAGUCGAACGGCAGCACAGGAGAGCUUGCUCUCUGGGUGGCGAGUGGCGGACGGGUGAGGAAUACAUCGGAAUCUACUCUGUCGUGGGGGAUAACGUAGGGAAACUUACGCUAAUACCGCAUACGACCUACGGGUGAAAGCAGGGGACCUUCGGGCCUUGCGCGAUUGAAUGAGCCGAUGUCGGAUUAGCUAGUGGCGGGGUAAAGGCCCACCAAGGCGACGAUCCGGAGCUGGUCUGGGAGGAUGAUCAGCCACACUGGAACGGAGACACGGUCCAGACUCCUACGGGAGGCAGCAGUGGGGAAUAUUGGACAAUGGGCGCAAGCCUGAUCCAGCCAUACCGCGUGGGUGAAGAAGGCCUUCGGGUUGUAAAGCCCUUUUGUUGGGAAAGAAAUCCAGCUGGCUAAUACCCGGUUGGGAUGACGGUGCCCAAAGAAUAAGCACCGGCUAACUUCGUGCCAGCCGCCGCGGUAA
rnacentral:rRNA from 1 species